rnacentral:rRNA from 1 species
GACGAACGCUGGCGGCGUGCUUAACACAUGCAAGUGGAGCGACGAACCGGGGCUUGCCCCGGGGCAGAGCCGCGAACGGGUGAGUAACACGUGGGUAACCCACCCCGAUGAUUGGGACAACCCGGGGAAACUCGGGCUAAUACCAAAUGUGCUCGAAGACCAUGAGGUCCUCGAGUAAAGAUAGCUUCGGCCUUCGCAUCGGGACGGGCCCGCGGCCCAUUAGCUUGUUGGUGAGGUAACGGCUCACCAAGGCAACGAUGGGUAGCUGGUCUGAGAGGACGAUCAGCCACACUGGGACUGAGACACGGCCCAGACUCCUACGGGAGGCAGCAGUGGGGAAUCUUGCGCAAUGCGCGAAAGCGUGACGCAGCAACGCCGCGUGGAGGAAGACGUC